GCGCGGGUGGCGGAAUUGGUAGACGCGCUAGCUUGAGGGGCUAGUGACCAUCAUGGUCGUGGAGGUUCAAAUCCUCUCUCGCGCA
rnacentral:tRNA from 1 species